rnacentral:lncRNA from 1 species
GGCGGAUUUUGGGGUGGGAUUUGCUGAUUUUGGGGUGGGAUUUGCCGAUUUUUGGGAAGAAUUUGCCAAUUUUGCUGGGAACGCUCGAUUUUUUUCGGGGGAUUUUCGGGGCGUGACUCCAGGUUUUGGGGUGUCCCUCACCUGGGGUGACCUCGGAGAUGUGACAUUCCUCCACGGCCCCCGAGGGACUGUGAACUUUGGCGUCCAGGGCGGCGUCACUCGGGGCCGUGGCCGUCACCACGAAGGGGCUCUCGGGGAUGUGCUCGUCGUUGAACUUCACCGACACCUCGUAGUCACCUGGGGGAGAGUGGGAUUGGCUGUGACCCCGAAAAUCCCAAAAAUCCCAUCCCCAAAACCCCAAAAACCUGCUCCAAAAAUUCCCAAAAUCCCAACUCAAAAAUCCCCUAAAACUCGGCUCUGUCCCCUCUCUGGCCCCUCUCUCGGGGAUGUGCUGCCAUUGAACUUCACUGACACCUCGUAGUCACCUGAGAGAGGAUGGGAUUAGGGUUUGGGGCCUGUGACCCUAAAACCCUGCCCUAAAAACCCCAAAAACCUGCUCCAAAAAUCCCCAAAAUCCCAACUCAAAAAUCCCCUAAAACUCGGCUCUGUCCCCUCUCUCGGGGCUGUUGUUGAACUUCACCGACACCUCGUAGUCACCUGGGGGAGAGUGGGAUUGGCUGUGACCCCAAAACCACCACAAAUCCCAUCCCAAAAACCCCAAAAUCCCAUCCCAAAAACCCCAAAAUCCUGGCUCAAAAAAUCCCAAAAUCCCAACCCAAAAUCUCCUAAAACUCGGCUCUGGCCCCUCUCUCGGGGAUGUGCUCGUCGUUGAACUUCACCGACACCUCGUAGUCACCUGAGAGGGGUUUGGGAUUGGCUGUGACCCCAAAACCCCAAAAUCCCAUCCCAAAAACCCCAAAAUCCCAUCCCAAAAACCCCAAAAACCUGCUCCAAAAAUCCCCAAAAUCCCAACUCAAAAAUCCCCUAAAACUCGGCUCUGUCCCCUCUCUCGGGGCUGCGCUGUUGUUGAACUUCACCGACACCUCGUAGUCACCUGAGAGGGGUUUGGGAUUGGCUGUGACCCCAAAACCACCACAAAUCCCAUCCCAAAAACCCCAAAAUCCCAUCCCAAAAACCCCAAAAUCCUGGCUCAAAAAAUCCCCAAAAUCCCAACCCAAAAUCCCCUAAAACUCGCAGUCACCUGGGAGAGGAUGGGAUUAGGGUUUGGGGCCUGUGACCCUAAAACCCUGCCCUAAAAACCCCAAAUACCUGCUCAAAAAAAUCCCAAAAAUUGCACCCCAAAAACCCCAAAAACCUGCUCAAAAAAUCCCCAAAAUCCCAACCCAAAAUCCCCUAAAACUCGGCUCUGUCCCCUCUCUCGGGGAUGUGCUCGUCGUUGAACUUCACCGACACCUCGAAGUCACCUGAGAGGGGUUUGGGAUUGGCUGUGACCCCAAAACCCCAAAAUCCCAUCCCAAAAAUCCCAAAAUCCCAUCCCAAAAACCCUAAAAACCUACUCAAAAAAUCCCAAAAAUCCCAACCCAAAAUUGUCUAAAACUCGGCUCUGUCCCCUCUCUCGGGGCUGCGCUGUUGUUGAACUUCACCGACACCUCGUAGUCACCUCGGAGGGGUUUGGGAUUAGGGAAGGGGGUCUGAUCCCAAAAAACCCC